rnacentral:rRNA from 1 species
CUAGCGACUUCAGAGUUUGAUCCUGGCUCAGGAUGAACGCUGGCGGCGUGCUUAACACAUGCAAGUCGAACGAGGCUUACCGACGGAAGUUUUCGGAUGGAAGACGGUAAGACCGAGUGGCGGACGGGUGAGUAACGCGUGGGGAACCUGCCCCAUUCCGGGGGAUACCAGUUGGAAACGACUGUUAAUACCGCAUAAGCGCACAAGCGGACAUCCGCAAGUGUGAAAAACUGAGGUGGAAUGGGAUGGCCCCGCGUCUGAUUAGCCAGUUGGCAGGGUAACGGCCUACCAAAGCGACGAUCAGUAGCCGGCCUGAGAGGGCGACCGGCCACAUUGGGACUGAGACACGGCCCAA